AGAGUUUGAUCCUGGCUCAGGAUGAACGCUAGCGACAGGCUUAACACAUGCAAGUCGAGGGGCAUCAUGAGGUAGCAAUACCUUGAUGGCGACCGGCGCACGGGUGAGUAACGCGUAUGCAACCUGCCGAUACCGGGGUAUAGCCCAUGGAAACGUGGAUUAACACCCCAUAGUACUUUUAUCCUGCAUGGGAUGUGAGUUAAAUGUUCAAGGUAUCGGAUGGGCAUGCGUCCUAUUAGUUAGUUGGCGGGGUAACAGCCCACCAAGACGAUGAUAGGUAGGGGUUCUGAGAGGAAGGUCCCCCACAUUGGAACUGAGACACGGUCCAAACUCCUACGGGAGGCAGCAGUGAGGAAUAUUGGUCAAUGGACGAGAGUCUGAACCAGCCAAGUCGCGUGAGGGAAGACUGCCCUAUGGGUUGUAAACCUCUUUUAUAAGGGAAGAAUAAGUUCUACGUGUAGAAUGAUGCCUGUACCUUAUGAAUAAGCAUCGGCUAACUCCGUGCCAGCAGCCGCGGUAAUACGGAGGAUGCGAGCGUUAUCCGGAUUUAUUGGGUUUAAAGGGUGCGUAGGCGGUUUAUUAAGUUAGUGGUUAAAUAUUUGAGCUAAACUCAAUUGUGCCAUUAAUACUGGUAAACUGGAGUACAGACGAGGUAGGCGGAAUAAGUUAAGUAGCGGUGAAAUGCAUAGAUAUAACUUAGAACUCCGAUAGCGAAGGCAGCUUACCAGACUGUAACUGACGCUGAUGCACGAGAGCGUGGGUAGCGAACAGGAUUAGAUACCCUGGUAGUCCACGCCGUAAACGAUGCUCACUGGUUCUGUGCGAUAUAUUGUACGGGAUUAAGCGAAAGUAUUAAGUGAGCCACCUGGGGAGUACGUCGGCAACG
rnacentral:rRNA from 1 species